rnacentral:rRNA from 1 species
UACGUAGGGGGCAAGCGUUGUCCGGAAUCAUUGGGCGUAAAGCGCGUGUAGGCGGCCUUGUAAGUCCGUUCUGAAAGCCCGGGGCUCAACCCCGGGAGGCGGAUGGAUACUGCAAGGCUCGAGUACGGAAGAGGCGAGUGGAAUUCCUGGUGUAGCGGUGGGAUGCGCAGAUAUCAGGAGGAACACCGAUGGCGAAGGCAGGUCUCUGGGCUGACACUGACGCUCAUGCACGAAAGCGUGGGGAGCAAACAGG